AUUGAACGCUGGCGGCAUGCCUUACACAUGCAAGUCGAACGGCAGCACGGGAGCAAUCCUGGUGGCGAGUAGCGAACGGGUGAGUAAUACAUCGGAACGUGCCCAGUAGUGGGGGAUAGCCCGGCGAAAGCCGGAUUAAUACCGCAUACGACCUAUGGGUGAAAGCGGGGGAUCGCAAGACCUUGCGCUAUUGGAGCGGCCGAUGUCAGAUUAGCUAGNGGUGGGGUAAAGCCUACCAAGGCGACGAUCUGUAGCUGGUCUGAGAGGACGACCAGCCACACUGGGACUGAGACACGGCCCAGACUCCUACGGGAGGCAGCAGUGGGGAAUUUUGGACAAUGGGCGCAAGCCUGAUCCAGCCAUGCCGCGUGCGGGAAGAAGG
rnacentral:rRNA from 1 species